rfam:Triticum aestivum genome assembly, contig: Triticum_aestivum_CS42_TGACv1_scaffold_148449_2BS
UAUAUACUCCCUCCGUCUCAAAAUUCUUGUAUUAGAUUUGUCUACGUAUAGAUGUAUCUAGUCACAUCUUAGUGUUAGAUACACUCGUAUAUAGAUAAAUUUAAGACAAGAAUUUUGGGAUGGUAGGAGUAUGUG